AUUUUUCAUCGCAUUUCAAAUUUCGAAAUUUCAUUAAAAGGUUCAGUUUGAAAAUUAACGACGAAAUUAUAACUGCAUACGUAAAGUCUUCUCAACUAUAAUUCAAAUAAUGGCGAGUAUUCAGUGGAAAUAUGUUUAUAUACAUCCAACAACAAAAA